AUGACACUUCUAAGUAGAGCUUUGGGUAUGCUUUUCUAUUUACUUCAAGCUGUUUCUGGAGAAAGUGGCUAUGCAGAAAAUGGAGAUUUUGAUGACACAGAACUGGAUGACUACUCAUUCUCAUGCUACAGUCAGCUGGAAGUGGAUGGACUCCAGCACUUGCUGACCUGCACGUUUGAUGACUCGGACAUCAACAGCACCAAUCUGGAACUUGAAAUAUGUGGGGCGCUUUUGGAUGUAUAUUGCCUGAAUUUUAAUAAACUGCAAGAGAGGUAUUUCCUCAAGACAAAGAAAUUCUUACUGAUUGGAGACAGUAAAAUAUGUGUGAAGCUUGAAAAAAAGAACAUGACUUGCAGAAAAGUGAACAUAGUGAAGAUAGUUAAACCUGAGGCUCCUUUUGACAUCAGAGUCAUCUAUCGUGAAGGAGCAAAUGACUUUGUGGUGACAUUUAAUACAUCACACUUGCAGAAGAAGUAUGUGAAAGUAUUAAUACAUGAGGUAGCCUACCGUCAGGAAAAAAAUGAAAAUAAUUGGAUGCGUGUGAAUUUAACCAGUACCAAGCUGACACUCCUACAGAGGAAACUGCAACCCAAUGCCAUGUAUGAGAUUAAAGUUCGGUCCAUCCCUUACGCCAACUAUUUUGAAGGCUUCUGGAGUGAAUGGAGUCCAAGUUUCCACUUUAGAACUCCAGAGACCAAUGGCACAGGGGAGACGGAUCCUGUGUUACUAACUAUCAGCAUUCUGAGCUUCUUCUCUGUGGCUCUGAUGGUCACUCUGGCCUGUGUGUUAUGGAAAAAAAGAAUUAAGCCUAUCAUAUGGCCCAGUCUCCCUGAUCAUAAGAAGACUCUGGAACAACUGUGCAAGAAACCAAAAAAAAAUUUGAAUGUGAGUUUCAAUCCUGAAAGUUUCCUGGACUGCCAGAUUCAUAAGGUGGAUGGCAUUCAAGCUAGAGAUGAAGCAGAAGGCUUCCUGCAAGACCCUCUUUCUCUGCAGCUGGAGGAGAGUGAGAAGCAGAGGUUCAGAGGCGGGAUGCAGGGUCCCAGUUGGCCCUCCGAGCAAGCAGGCAUUACGCCUAAAAUUUUCAGAGGAGAGUCACCAUUCAGAUGCUUGGCUGGGAAUGCCAGUGUGUGUGAUGCCCCUGGGCUUCCCUCCUCCAGGUCUCCUAAUGGCAGGGAAGGUGGCAAGGGCAGACCUCUAGUGUACCAGGACCUGCUCCUCGGACCUGGAACUACAAACAGCUCCCUGUCCCCUUCGUUUCCAUUCCAACCUGGAAUCCUGACAUUAAACCCUGUUGCCCAGGGGCAGCCCAUCCUCACUUCCUUGGGAUCAAGUCAAGAAGAAGCCUAUGUCACCAUGUCCAGCUUCUACCAAAACCAGUGAGUUGUAAGAAACCCAAGAUCAGAACCAUCAUGAUGAACGAAGAUGACUGAGUCCCACUCUCCCCAACAGCACAAACAAACAAAUUGGAUGUGGCCCCUCUAUGUGGUCACAGGAUUCUGAAGCAGCACUUGUGUGGCAGGAGGCAGGAGACAGGGACAUUCUGUUUCAGGCAACGCAAUGAUUCAUUUCUUUCAGAAAGGAAAAAAGGGAAAGGGAGAAAGAAAGGAUGGAGAAAAUGACAGAGGGUUGGGGGGACAGAAAGGGAGCAAGGGAAGAAAGAGGGAAAGGAGAACAGAGUGUUGGAUACCAUGAUCAGGACUCACUAUGUCCCCAGUGCUGUCCUACAUGCUCUGCACAUCUUGUCUCGCUGCGUCUUCACAGUAAUCCUAGGAGGUGGGCUCAAUUAGCAUCAUUCCCUGUGUCUCAGAUGAUGAAACUGUGGCUUUAAUUAAUCUGUCCAUGUUCCCCACUCAGCAAGAGGUAGAAUCAAGAUUUGCUGCCCAGGAGUCUCUUCCAAGUCACAUGCCUUCCUCAGUCAGGGACUGUCCUACUCUCCAGUGCCAAACUUCACCUAGAUCCUGGUCAAUCUAUAAUGUACUUGUCUCCAAUCUCUUUGGCACCAGAAACUGGAUUCAUGGAAGAUAGUCUGUCCAAGGAUGAUGCAGUGGAGGUAGGAAUGGUUUCAGCAUGAUUCAAGUGCAUUGCAUUUAUUUUGCACUUUAUUUCUGUUAUGAUCACAUCAGCUCCACUUCAGAUCAUCAGGCAUUAGAUUAUGGAAGUUGGGGACCCCUGCAUUGUCCAAACUGGGUCAAUUUUACAAGUGAAAACGAAAGGUUAUAAGUUAUCACUCCAGGACAAUAAUUGUAAACUGAAAUAUCCCAGGAAAAUGGGGACCUGUGGUCACUAGAACUAAAAGAGCUACAAGGAAGAUGGUGGGGAGGAAUGGUCUCAUGAUGUAUGAAGCACCACAACUGGCCAUGUCUACAAAAAGCUACAAAGCCCAUUUUAUUCCAUUUUUCUUAACAAGUACUUAAAGGAGAAUCAACUAGAUGCCCAGAAUUUCUAUUGUUACUCACUGUUAGGACCCUCUUGCUCCUCCCACCCAAUGACCUCCCUUGAUAAUGGAAGAACCUCUUACUGACUCUGGACACUGGUGUAUUUGAGCAACGAGCCAGGGCAAACUCUCCUCUGUGUGUAGAGACUCCCCAACCCAAAUACAUCUGCUGUCCCCAAUUUCUACCAAUAUGAAUGCUGCCAAAAACUUCAGGGAGAAGGAUUACAAGCUCAUGCUGCACACGAGCCAAUUGUGGCCAUGUUCUUGGAGGUUUAGAGAAUAUAUGAUGUGUGUCCUCUUGCAUUACCUCAUCCAGAUAAAUAACUAGAGACUGUCUCAAGCCAAGAUAAGACAGCAGAGCACUCUCAGCUCAGGGCUAUGCAGUUGAUCCCUUUUAAUAGAUCCCCAGACCACCCCCAACACAACCCUGACUCUGGGUGUACACAGACCAAGGACACCGGUCUAAGAUCAAUGUUGUUGUUCGGGAGUUGGUCCUUGUUGUUGUUGUUGUUUACAUUUUGCAUUUUUUCUUUGUUCUGUUUUUAGUUUGUUUGGGUAGGAGACAAAGUGUUUUUAAUUUUUUUUAAUUUUUGUGUUGGUUUUAUUUUGUAAUGUCUCUGAAGGGAGCUCCUCAAAGUGCCUUCCAAGUCCUUUUCUCUGAAUCAGUAGUAAUGACUAUAGUCCCAUAAUCCCUUAGAUUUGCUCAGUGCUUUUGUAAUUUUUCAAAGCACUUCCAUUAUCCAUUAGCAUUAUCCACUUAGUUUUCUUGGUAUGUAUUUAUGGAAAGCUUGCUCUGUGCCAGCCACAGUGGUCAAAGACAAGAUUGGGACCCUGCCCUUAAAUAUCUAAUAAAAGGUAGCUUUAAUAUGCUACCUUUAAUAAU
rnacentral:lncRNA from 1 species